rnacentral:rRNA from 1 species
CGUAGGGUGCGAGCGUUGUCCGGAAUUAUUGGGCGUAAAGGGCUCGUAGGUGGUUUGUCGCGUCGGGAGUGAAAUCCACUGGCUUAACUGGUGGCUUGCUUUCGAUACGGGCAGACUGGAGGUAUGCAGGGGAGAACGGAAUUCCUGGUGUAGCGGUGAAAUGCGCAGAUAUCAGGAGGAACACCGGUGGCGAAGGCGGUUCUCUGGGCAUGUCCUGACGCUGAGGAGCGAAAGUGUGGGGGAGCGAACAGGAUU